ACUCUUACCAGUUGUUUUAAUUGCUAAGACAACCCAGUUCUGCAUGAGCUACAGCCAACUUCACAAAGCUUCAGGUGCCUGGAUGUUGAGGGGCAAAUAGGACUGUUCACUGAAGGAGCUAGAGAAUGGAAGAGAAGGUUGUGUCAGAUAGAAAUAACAGAAGCUUUCUGAAAUGAAAACAGAAAUGUUACAACUUGCACCACAGUACUGGACUGAAACGAAGAUGUAACACAGCCAUAAUAAUUUAAAUUAAUAGCAAAUAAAUAAAGAAAAAAAGAACUUCAUUGUGAGGACCAUAGUCAUGGGAUAGCUCUGUCUUUUCGGGGAAAGUGGAGUAGAGGGACAGAGUCACCCCAGGAGAAAAAAUGCUUAAAUUAAGACUCCCUGAGAGACUGAAUAAGAGUAUGAUUAGUUCAGCCUUGCUUUCAUCCUCCACUUCCCCCUCCCACUGUAGACUUCAGUUUUAAUAAUGAUUAAAGAAUAAUGCCUGAA
rnacentral:lncRNA from 1 species